rnacentral:rRNA from 1 species
CGGAGGAUCCGAGCGUUAUCCGGAUUUAUUGGGUUUAAAGGGUGCGUAGGCGGCACUUUAAGUCAGGGGUGAAGACGGCAGCUCAACUGUCGCAGUGCCCUUGAUACUGAAGUGCUUGAAUGCGGUUGAAGACGGCGGAAUGAGACAAGUAGCGGUGAAAUGCAUAGAUAUGUCUCAGAACACCGAUUGCGAAGGCAGCUGUCUAAGCCGUUAUUGACGCUGAUGCACGAAAGCGUGGGAUCGAACAGGAUU